rnacentral:rRNA from 1 species
UACAGAGGUCUCAAGCGUUGUUCGGAUUCAUUGGGCGUAAAGGGUGCGUAGGCGGCGCGGUAAGUCGGGUGUGAAAUCUCGGAGCUUAACUCCGAAACUGCAUUCGAUACUGCCUUGCUUGAGGACUGGAGAGGAGACUGGAAUUUACGGUGUAGCGGUGAAAUGCGUAGAUAUCGUAAGGAAGACCAGUGGCGAAGGCGGGUCUCUGGACAGUUCCUGACGCUGAGGCACGAAGGUCAGGGGAGCAAACGGG